UACGAAGGGGGCUAGCGUUACUCGGAAUCACUGGGCGUAAAGGGUGCGUAGGCGGGUCUUUAAGUCAGGGGUGAAAUCCUGGAGCUCAACUCCAGAACUGCCUUUGAUACUGAAGAUCUUGAGUUCGGGAGAGGUGAGUGGAACUGCGAGUGUAGAGGUGAAAUUCGUAGAUAUUCGCAAGAACACCAGUGGCGAAGGCGGCUCACUGGCCCGAUACUGACGCUGAUGCACGAAAGCGUGGGGAGCAAACAGG
rnacentral:rRNA from 1 species